GAUGAAAACGUAGCGAAAUGCGAUAAGUAAUGCGAAUUGCAGAAUUUCCGUGAGUCAUCGAAUCUUUGAACGCACAUUGCGCCCACUGGUAUUCCGGUGGGCAUGCCUGUUCGAGCGUCAUUAUCCUCCCUCAAACCCCGGGUUUGGUGUUGGACCCAAGUUGUGUGAACAACUGGUCUCAAAGACAAUGACGGCGUCCGUGGGACCCUCGGUGCAACGAGCUUUUAGGAGCACGCAUCGAGUUGCAAGGACCUUCCGGGCCGGUCUCCUUUACCAUUUUACAAGGUUGACCUCGGAUCAGGUAGGAAUACCCGCUGAACUUAAGCAUAUCAAUAAGCGGAGGA
rnacentral:misc_RNA from 1 species